rnacentral:lncRNA from 1 species
CGAGGCGGAGUGAGGCGGGGCUCCCGGGGCGGGGGUGGAGCCAGCCCGGGCCUCUGCUGACAGCCGUACCUGUGACUCUGAUCACUAGUCUUCGCGGGCAAGACCAGCUUUCCGGGGCCCCAGGCUAGGAAGCCCGAGUUUCUGGAACCAUAGAAGGGGAUUCUCCAAGAUAAUGAGGACAGCUGUGAAGGACAUCUGGAAACAACAAACAGUCACAUCUCCUUAAAUGGAUCCACUUUCCGAUCUUUGAAAAUACUUUAGAGCCUCCAGUUAAAGUGUAAACUUCCCAGCUAAGUGAAGAUGAAGAUCUUGUCAUUUCUAACACUUGUAUAAAAAGAGAGGUUAUUCAAACUCAAGUGAGUAGUCAAAAUUAUACACUGUCAAAUAAUUUAUAACUAAAAGAUCUCCUAUUUA